GUAUCAAUAAGCGGAGGAAAAGAAACUAACAAGGAUUCCCCUAGUAACUGCGAGUGAAGCGGGAAAAGCUCAAAUUUGAAAUCUGGCAGUCUUUGACUUGUCCGAGUUGUAAUCUAGAGAAGUGUUACCUGUGCUGGACCGUGUAAAAGUCUCCUGGAAUGGAGCAUCAUAGAGGGUGAGAAUCCCGUCUUUGACACGGACCCCAGGGCUUCUGUGAUGCGCUCUCAAAGAGUCGAGUUGUUUGGGAAUGCAGCUCAAAAUGGGUGGUGAACUCCAUCUAAAGCUAAAUAUUGGCGAGAGACCGAUAGCGCACAAGUA
rnacentral:rRNA from 1 species